rnacentral:rRNA from 1 species
UACAGAGGUCUCAAGCGUUGUUCGGAUUCAUUGGGCGUAAAGAGCGUGUAGGCGGUCCGAUAAGUCGGUUGUGAAAGUCAAGGGCUCAACCCUUGAAUGCCGACCGAUACUGUCGGGCUAGAGUCCGGAAGAGGCGAGUGGAAUUCCUGGUGUAGCGGUGAAAUGCGCAGAUAUCAGGAGGAACACCAAUGGCGAAGGCAGCUCGCUGGGACGGUACUGACGCUGAGACGCGAAAGCGUGGGGAGCAAACAGG